rnacentral:lncRNA from 1 species
AUGAUCACAGUGAUUUCUUUUCCAUUCAGCAUUUAUUCCUUUUCCAUCUGAGUUUGUAAGGGGUACCAUCCCUUAUCCUUCAUCACAUAAUACAUAUUUAAGAAUAUUUUUCUUAGCUUUAAAUGAGUUAGUUGGAGGAACAAGAAGAAAGCCAUGGAUUCCAUUUGCAAGAAUGGAAGCGGACCCUUUCCUUCUAUUCCAAGUCCCAACAGGAGAGUCUGCAUUUGGGUUUUUGAGAACUUGAAAUGGGUCAUGUGUAGGCAGUCAGGACACUCGGUCCACCUUGUCUCAUAGCCCUAAAGGGUUAAUUUCAUCACUAUAGGGAGGUGGAAAACUCAGAGCUAUAACUUUCAGGAAUUCUCAAAACCUGAGCAUUGCAGACCAAGUGCCCCUUUGUUUCAUCAUCCAUCUGUUGAAGUAUAUUUUCAUUCCAUCUGCACACUCACAUACACAACACUGCAAGUUGUGUUCAUCUUCAUUUGCAAUUAGCUUAAUGCAUUUUGUGUCCUAUAUUUACACUGGGUAAGGAAUGGUAUCAGUCUCUCAAAACUAAAGGUCAUUGCAAAAAAUUAUAUCAUUCUGGAAAAAUGUGAUAAUUCUUCAAACACUUUUAGAUGUAAUUCUACAAUCAGAUCUAAUAGGCAAA